CCUACGGGUGGCAGCAGUGAGGAAUAUUGGUCAAUGGGCGAGAGCCUGAACCAGCCAAGCCGCGUGAGGGAGUACUGCCCUAUGGGUGGUAAACCCCUUUUGCCGGGGAGCAAAAGCCGGACGUGUCCGGCUGUGAGAGUACCAGAAGACAAAGAAUCGGCAAACUCCGUGCCAGCAGCGGCGGUAAUACGGAGGAUGCGAGCGGUAUCCGGAUUGUUGGGGGUAAAGGGGGGCGCGGGGGGAUGUUUAGGACAGCGGGCAAUGCGUGGGCCUCAACCCCAUCCAGCCGUUGAAACUGGGGAGCUAGAGGGUGCGAGAGGUAGGCAGAAUGCGUGGUGGAGCGGUGAAAUGCGUAGAUAUCAGGCGGAACCCCGGUGGCGAAGGCGGCAUACCGGAGAACAACUGACGCUCAGGCACGAAAGCGUGGGUAGCGAACAGGAUUAGAUACCCGGGUAGUC
rnacentral:rRNA from 1 species